rnacentral:rRNA from 1 species
GGACGGGGAGCACUACGAACGGGUGGAGCCUGUCGGUUUAAUUGGAUCAACGCCGAAUCUCGACCGGGGCGACAGCAAUAUGAAGGUCAGGCUGAAGACCUUACCCGAUUAGCUGAGAGGUGGUGCAUGGCCGUCGUCAGUUCGUACUGUGAAGCAUCCUGUUAAGUCAGGCAACGAGCGAGACCCACGUCCACAGUUGCCAGCAUACCCUCCGGGGUGAUGGGUACACUGUGGAGACCGCCGCUGCUAAAGCGGAGGAAGGAGUGGGCAACGGUAGGUCAGUAUGCCCCGAAUCUCCCGGGCUACACGCGGGCUACAAUGGUUGGUACAAUGGGCAUCUACCCCGAAAGGGGAAGGAAAUCUCUUAAAGCCAAUCGUAGUUCGGAUUGAGGGCUGCAACUCGCCCUCAUGAAGCUGGAAUCCGUAGUAAUCGCGUUUCAACAGAACGCGGUGAAUACGUCCCUGCUCCUU